rnacentral:rRNA from 1 species
AGAGCGAACGCUGGCGGCAGGCCUAAUACAUGCAAGUCGAACGGAUCCUUCGGGAUUAGUGGCGGACGGGUGAGUAACACGUGGGAACGUACCCUUUGGUUCGGAACAACUCAGGGAAACUUGAGCUAAUACCGAAUGUGCCCUUCGGGGAAAAGAUUUAUCGCCAUUGGAGCGGCCCGCGUCUGAUUAGCUAGUUGGUAGGGUAAAGGCCUACCAAGGCUACGAUCAGUAGCUGGUCUGAGAGGAUGAUCAGCCACACUGGGACUGAGACACGGCCCAGACUCCUACGGGAGGCAGCAGUAGGGAAUCUUGCGCAAUGGGCGAAAGCCUGACGCAGCCAUGCCGCGUGAAUGAUGAAGGUCUUAGGAUUGUAAAAUUCUUUCAGGAGGGACGAAGGUGUGGCGGUGAAUAGCCGACCGUACUGACGGUACCUCCACAACGAAGCCCCGGCUAACUACGUGCCAGCAGCCGC